AUGUGGGUGGCUUAGUCGGUUAAGCGUCUGACUUCGGCUCAGGUCAUGACCUCACAGCUUAUGGGUUCGAGCCCCACAUC
rnacentral:tRNA from 1 species